UACAGAGGUCUCAAGCGUUGUUCGGAUUCAUUGGGCGUAAAGGGUGCGUAGGCGGCGCGGUAAGUCGGGUGUGAAAUCUCGGGGCUUAACUCCGAAACUGCAUUCGAUACUGCCGUGAUUGAGGACUGGAGAGGAGACUGGAAUUUACGGUGUAGCGGUGAAAUGCGUAGAUAUCGUAAGGAAGACCAGUGGCGAAGGCGGGUCUCUGGACAAUUCCUGACGCUGAGGCACGAAGGCCAGGGGAGCAAACGGG
rnacentral:rRNA from 1 species